GACGAACGCUGGCGGCGUGCUUAACACAUGCAAGUCGAACGGAAAGGCCCUGCUUUUGUGGGGUGCUCGAGUGGCGAACGGGUGAGUAACACGUGAGUAACCUGCCCUUGACUUUGGGAUAACUUCAGGAAACUGGGGCUAAUACCGGAUAGGAGCUCCUGCUGCAUGGUGGGGGUUGGAAAGUUUCGGCGGUUGGGGAUGGACUCGCGGCUUAUCAGCUUGUUGGUGGGGUAGUGGCUUACCAAGGCUUUGACGGGUAGCCGGCCUGAGAGGGUGACCGGCCACAUUGGGACUGAGAUACGGACCAGGCGCCUACGGGAGGCAGCGGUGGGAAAUAUGGCACAAUGGGCGGAAGCCUGAUGCAGCAGCGCCGCGUGCGGGAUGACGGCCUUCGGGUUGUAAACCGCUUUCGCCUGUGACGAAGCGUGAGUGACGGUAAUGGGUAAAGAAGCACCGGCUAACUACGUG
rnacentral:rRNA from 1 species